GGUUAAGCGACUAAGCGUACACGGUGGAUGCCCUGGCAGUCAGAGGCGAUGAAGGACGUGCUAAUCUGCGAUAAGCGCCGGUAAGGUGAUAUGAACCGUUAUAACCGGCGAUUUCCGAAUGGGGAAACCCAGUGUGACUCGUCACACUAUCAUUAACUGAAUCCAUAGGUUAAUGAGGCGAACCGGGGGAACUGAAACAUCUAAGUACCCCGAGGAAAAGAAAUCAACCGAGAUUCCCCCAGUAGCGGCGAGCGAACGGGGAGGAGCCCAGAGCCUGAAUCAGCAUGUGUGUUAGUGGAAGCGUCUGGAAAGGCGCGCGAUACAGGGUGACAGCCCCGUACACAAAAGCGCAUGUGCUGUGAGCUCGAUGAGUAGGGCGGGACACGUGGUAUCCUGUCUGAAUAUGGGGGGACCAUCCUCCAAGGCUAAAUACUCCUGACUGACCGAUAGUGAACCAGUACCGUGAGGGAAAGGCGAAAAGAACCCCGGCGAGGGGAGUGAAAAAGAACCUGAAACCGUGUACGUACAAACAGUGGGAGCACCCUUCGGGGUGUGACUGCGUACCUUUUGUAUAAUGGGUCAGCGACUUAUAUUCUGUAGCAAGGUUAACCGAAUAGGGGAGCCGGAGGGAAACCGAGUCUUAAUUGGGCGUUAAGUUGCAGGGUAUAGACCCGAAACCCGGUGAUCUAGCCAUGGGCAGGUUGAAGGUUGGGUAACACUAACUGGAGGACCGAACCGACUAAUGUUGAAAAAUUAGCGGAUGACCUGUGGCUGGGGGUGAAAGGCCAAUCAAACCGGGAGAUAGCUGGUUCUCCCCGAAAGCUAUUUAGGUAGCGCCUCGUGAAUUCAUCUCCGGGGGUAGAGCACUGUUUCGGCUAGGGGGCCAUCCCGGCUUACCAACCCGAUGCAAACUGCGAAUACCGGAGAAUGUUAUCACGGGAGACACACGGCGGGUGCUAACGUCCGUCGUGAAGAGGGAAACAACCCAGACCGCCAGCUAAGGUCCCAAAGUCAUGGUUAAGUGGGAAACGAUGUGGGAAGGCCCAGACAGCCAGGAUGUUGGCUUAGAAGCAGCCAUCAUUUAAAGAAAGCGUAAUAGCUCACUGGUCGAGUCGGCCUGCGCGGAAGAUGUAACGGGGCUAAACCAUGCACCGAAGCUGCGGCAGCGACACUGUGUGUUGUUGGGUAGGGGAGCGUUCUGUAAGCCUGCGAAGGUGGCCUGUGAGGGUUGCUGGAGGUAUCAGAAGUGCGAAUGCUGACAUAAGUAACGAUAAAGCGGGUGAAAAGCCCGCUCGCCGGAAGACCAAGGGUUCCUGUCCAACGUUAAUCGGGGCAGGGUGAGUCGACCCCUAAGGCGAGGCCGAAAGGCGUAGUCGAUGGGAAACGGGUUAAUAUUCCCGUACUUGGUGUUACUGCGAAGGGGGGACGGAGAAGGCUAUGUUGGCCGGGCGACGGUUGUCCCGGUUUAAGCGUGUAGGUGUGUGUUCCAGGUAAAUCCGGUUCACUUUAACACUGAGGCGUGACGACGAGGCACUACGGUGCUGAAGCAACAAAUGCCCUGCUUCCAGGAAAAGCCUCUAAGCAUCAGGUAACAUCAAAUCGUACCCCAAACCGACACAGGUGGUCAGGUAGAGAAUACCAAGGCGCUUGAGAGAACUCGGGUGAAGGAACUAGGCAAAAUGGUGCCGUAACUUCGGGAGAAGGCACGCUGACAUGUAGGUGAAGUGAUUUACUCAUGGAGCUGAAGUCAGUCGAAGAUACCAGCUGGCUGCAACUGUUUAUUAAAAACACAGCACUGUGCAAACACGAAAGUGGACGUAUACGGUGUGACGCCUGCCCGGUGCCGGAAGGUUAAUUGAUGGGGUCAGCGCAAGCGAAGCUCCUGAUCGAAGCCCCGGUAAACGGCGGCCGUAACUAUAACGGUCCUAAGGUAGCGAAAUUCCUUGUCGGGUAAGUUCCGACCUGCACGAAUGGCGUAAUGAUGGCCAGGCUGUCUCCACCCGAGACUCAGUGAAAUUGAACUCGCUGUGAAGAUGCAGUGUACCCGCGGCAAGACGGAAAGACCCCGUGAACCUUUACUAUAGCUUGACACUGAACAUUGAGCCUUGAUGUGUAGGAUAGGUGGGAGGCUUUGAAGCGUGGACGCCAGUCUGCAUGGAGCCGACCUUGAAAUACCACCCUUUAAUGUUUGAUGUUCUAACGUGGACCCGUAAUCCGGGUUGCGGACAGUGUCUGGUGGGUAGUUUGACUGGGGCGGUCUCCUCCUAAAGAGUAACGGAGGAGCACGAAGGUUGGCUAAUCCUGGUCGGACAUCAGGAGGUUAGUGCAAUGGCAUAAGCCAGCUUGACUGCGAGCGUGACGGCGCGAGCAGGUGCGAAAGCAGGUCAUAGUGAUCCGGUGGUUCUGAAUGGAAGGGCCAUCGCUCAACGGAUAAAAGGUACUCCGGGGAUAACAGGCUGAUACCGCCCAAGAGUUCAUAUCGACGGCGGUGUUUGGCACCUCGAUGUCGGCUCAUCACAUCCUGGGGCUGAAGUAGGUCCCAAGGGUAUGGCUGUUCGCCAUUUAAAGUGGUACGCGAGCUGGGUUUAGAACGUCGUGAGACAGUUCGGUCCCUAUCUGCCGUGGGCGCUGGAGAACUGAGGGGGGCUGCUCCUAGUACGAGAGGACCGGAGUGGACGCAUCACUGGUGUUCGGGUUGUCAUGCCAAUGGCACUGCCCGGUAGCUAAAUGCGGAAGAGAUAAGUGCUGAAAGCAUCUAAGCACGAAACUUGCCCCGAGAUGAGUUCUCCCUGAGACUUAGAGUCUCCUGAAGGAACGUUGAAGACGACGACGUUGAUAGGCCGGGUGUGUAAGCGCAGCGAUGCGUUGAGCUAACCGGUACUAAUGAACCGUGAGGCUUAACCUU
rnacentral:rRNA from 3 species